UCAAGCAGAAUAUGAAAGCGUACGGCUCAACCGUAUACACGUAUCCUGAACUGUUAAACUAGAGGGCGAGAGAGGUUUCUAGAAUUUCUUGUGUAGGAGUGAAAUCCGUAGAUAUAAGAAGGAAUACCGAUGGCGUAGGCAGGAAACUGGCUCGCACCUGACACUAAGGCACGAAAGCGUGGGUAGCAAACGGGAUUAGAUACCCGGUAGUCCAUGCCGUAAACGAUGUCUACUA
rnacentral:rRNA from 1 species